UGGGGGUGGGGAGCAUGUGUGCCAAGAAAGGGAACAUGGUGGUGGUGGGGGGGUUGUUUAGUAAGUGCCUUUAACCACAGAGGAGGAUGGACCUGGGGGAAGGAACAAUGGCUGAUGACAUUAGGGAACCUCAGUAAUCUUGGAGAGCAGCAUGGAGGAGGGAGCCAAUUCCGAGGUGCUGAGGAGGUAGAGUGGGUAGUUUGGAAGUGGAGGCAGGGGUGUGGGAUCCCCUUGUGAAGACAGGAUUUGUGUCUUCAUGGCAAGACAGGAGCUGGUGCAAGAGCCUCCUUAGGGGCCCUUGAGAGUAGAUGGGGCCUGCAGAAAAGGGUGACGUUCACUGCAGGAAAUUCUCGGAGGACCCGGGACAGAAGACAGGCAGCCCACACCACCCAGGGGACAUCCAGGCAGUGAGUGUGCCCCAACCCUUAAUUACCCACAGUAUUGGAGAUUUGAAUAAUUGACUCCAAAUUUUAAUUGAUUUCACUAAAUCAAAGUAAAAUUUCUUAGAGAAAAGUAUCCAAAUGUAAGUCCUACCCAAAUAGUCAUCCAGAGAAAACUUGUCAUUAUCCCAUAUCUGAAUGAUCAGCCUGGGUGGGACCCGAAAUUCAGUUUGGUCAAUACUCCAGAAAUGCUCCUAAAAUGACAAGAUAAACAGAAAAACCAAAUGACACCACUGAACUCUGAAACCUUCCCUUUGGGCCCCUCGAGACCCCAGCAUCAGGGCAUGGGGCUUUUUCGCUCCUUUGCAUCCCACCUCUAACACCCCUUUCCCUUGCCCUCACCCCUCUACCCCAUGGUAUGGAGGGCAGCCGGUCUCUCCCGGAAGUCUCAAGGCCACCAGCUGGGUGACAAAAAGGUUGCCCCAGGCAAUCCCCAAACAGAAGGUUUCCUGCCUGCCAUGUUCCUAUCAGCGUGACUUCCUGCUGCCAUUCCUGGGGUUUGGGGAGUGAUUAUUUCUGCUUCCCCACCCUGAGACCACUAGGCCAGCUCAGACUAACAGCCAGGCUGUCCGAAGCCAGCCCAUAAUAUCACCCACUGGGGUGUCACAUUUGCUCGGUGACCUUCUUCCCACCCCAUGUGGGUAUCUGAGCACAUCAUUUCACAUGAUGGUGAGGAGACUGGGACCCAGCUUUCUCCCUUUUCUCAGUGCAGGUUUAAAAUGUCCUGACAUUUUUGGCUUUUGACAAUACUACUGUUUGUUACACGCUGCGGUCAACCAAGACCCCCGGAUUCCUCGUUCUAAAGCUGGGUGGAGGGAGGACUGGGUAAGGGUCCUCUAAGUUCUCACCUCUGGUCUCUGCCUCUGCCCAAACAAUAUUAGCCAACCACAAUAACACCUCCACAGCCUAAUCACACCUACAUAAUGGGAAUUCCCCCAGUGAUUCAUGAAUUCGAAGAAAAGAUGGUUGGAUUGUUUCUUGUUUUUCAGAUGACAUUCCAUGAAUGUUGCCCUUUGCAGGGCUCAGGGGGCCUGGCUCUGAGGGGCUAGGAAGCUCGUCCUGGCCCCACUGACUGUCCUGUGUGGGGUCAGGCUCCAGGUGACACUCAGGGCGCUGAGGGGUCCAGCAGUAGAUGUGGGUAAGUAAGAAAGGCCUACUUGACCCUAAGUCCCUCCCCUUCUCGCCAGUCUGCCUCACCAUCUGGAAGUGUGCAGGAUUUGACAUCUGGUUGAACUAGUAGGUCUCUAGACAGUGCCCUUUGAAGGCAUUUCUCUCACUAGGCACAGAAAAACGCUCCCCACAGUGUCAGCACUGAGCAGGGCCAGCAGAGGGACGGGUCUGGUUAUAUGGGACAUGAUGCAGAUGCAUUUUGAUCAGGUGUGGGGAGAGAAGGUGAGCAGGCAGAACUAGGAAAAGUUUAUAGAAUGUGGGGGACAGGAAUGGGACAGGGGACCCAUAAAAGACAUCUGUUAUUAUUGCCUGCCCAGACCUCAGGCCUCCUUUUUGGAGGAAAAAAAAAAGCAUCCAGAUUUUCCUUGGGGACUGACCUCCAGUUUGGGAAGAACUAACUCCAUUCCUAACCCCAGAACCAGUCAGAGCACUGCAUCCCCAGGCCACAUUGGUUGGUUCAGGGAUGGGAACGUGACCCCAAACAGGCAGAGGCACUGAGGCCCAAUUCCAGAACUCUGGUUGGUGCCAUUGGGGAUUAGUUCUUCUCUUUCUGCUGAGGUUUCUGGGAGGGCAGGAGGUGGCUGGGGCUGCUGGCAGCCAUCUUGCCUCCACCAGAGAAGGAGGGCCACAGGAGAGGACAGAGAGAGAGGGGUGGAGAAAGUGAGAACAAUUUCUAAAGACAUCAGUUCAACUUGGGAUCCAGGCAUUCCUAAGCGAGCCAUCCCUGGACGUUUUAGUAAUGUGAACCAAUAAAUCAGUUUUUUGGUAUAAGCCAGUUUGAGUUGAGUUCUGUAACUAGAGUCUUAUCAACCACGAGGGCCCUGAACCCUCAGGGAAGUGCUUCUGAGGGAGGUAAAACAGAUGCUGAGUUUUAAUAAAGAAGGUAAAAGGAAAAUUUCACCUACUUAAAAUUUUUUUAAUGUUUAUUUACUUUGAGAGAGAGAGACAGCAGAGAGUAAGCGGGGGAGGGGUAGAGAGGGAGACAGAAUCUGAAGCAGGCUCCAGGCUCUGAGCUGUCAGCACAGAGCCUUCCACGGGUCCCAAACCCACGAACUGUGAGAUCAUGACCUGAGCCAAAGUCGGAUGCUUAACUGACUGAGCCUCCCAGGCACCCCUAAAUUUCACCUACUUUAAUAUUUCACCUGUUUGGUUAACGAGUCAAACAGUUCUGCUUAUCGUGGGAAGAAAUCAGUCUCCCUGUGAUAUAAAAACACACUUAGGUGGUUGCCUAUAUUAAUACAAGACCCCCGGAUCUACCCUUUACUAGAUCUUUCACCCUGCUGCCAACAUGUUUGGGAAGGACAGUUGUGUUCCAGAUACUUCCUAAUUGCACAAAUAGCUGUCCUAGCUUUGUGAGCCUGGGCAAGUAUCUGCACCUCUGUGGGUCCCAGGUUCCCCAUCUGUAUCACAAGAGAGCUGGACCCAUGACCCCUAAGGGGCUGAGCAGCUCCUACAUGCCCUGUAUCUGUCCAUGACACCCACUUCCCAUGUGCCUAUUUCAGAACUCACUUUUUUAGCAAUGAUACAGAGUUGUUCAGCUGGGAGGUAGUCAAAUGGGAAAACAAAUCUCCAGUUAAAAUUCCCUUCACCAUCCAAGGACCUGUAAUGGACAUCUGUUUUCUGUUUGUUUUCUUCACUGCCAGGAAUCCAGCUGAAAAGCAGAAGCAAACAGACUUAGCUUCACGGGAUUGACAGGUGGUGGCUUUGCCAUGAAUAUGAAGCAUUACCAAGGGUGUUGGAAAAAAGCCUGGGGCUUGGUCAGGAAUUCCUACCUAAAUCUUGGCUCUGUCAUGUACCAGCUCUGUCGACAGAGCUCUGGCACCAUGCCCCUCCCCUGUAAUGUGGGGCUGCUGACCUCUGCCCUGCCCUGCUGAUAGGCUGACCAUGGAAUGAGAUGGUGGCAGCCACAGAGAGCCUCACGUGGAUACCACACAGAUGCUACGGUCAGAUGGCCUGGGUUCGAAUCCUGACUCCACCUCUUGCCAGCUGGGCACAUUAGACUCUUCCUCCCUGUGCCUCAGUUUCUUCUGUUGUCAAAUGGGGAUGAACAAUAGCACCCCAGAGUUGUGAAGUUGAGAUGUUUCAUAUAAACGUCUCCGGAGGGUGCAUGCACCCAGGAAAAGUUCAGCAGUUAUUAGCUUUUAUUAAAUGUGGAUGCAGCCGGUAGCUGAAAAAUCUGGGUCCUAUUUAGAGGUGACUUGGAUGUGCCCUCUCCUUGAGAAGGACCUCAUCUCCUUGAAGAGAUAGAUCGGUGUAGCAGCCCAGAAACAAGUCUGAUGUGGUAAUGGUGGAGAAACUAAUGCUUUUUAAAGAGUCUUCAGGAACAGAAGACGGAGGGGCAUUUGGACCCCAUCAUUUUCUGCCCCCUCCUCAGUUUUGGUAACAGGCACAUUAAUACAUUCACUGGACCAAAAUGGUGGAAUUAGAAUGUCCCAGAGAACAAGCACAAACUGGAUUCGGGGAGUGAGAACCAACACGUGGCUACAGGUGAGUCACUGCCCGUCCUGCUGGUCUGCAACCCACAAUCGUAUUGGACUUCUGGGUCUUGUCCCCUCCUCCUUCCUGGGGCCCUGGCCCCCUUGACCUCCCAGGCUCAGAGCAGAUCUCUCUAACAGAAGCCCAUCUUAUGACUUGGCUUUAUUUUCUUCAUGGCGCUUUUCACUUGCAUUUGUGACCUUACGUGUUUACUGCCUGCUCUGCUGACGAGAAUAUGUGUCUAGUUCCUAGUCACGGUCCUGGGGCCUAGAACAGAGCUGGGCACAUGUCACAUCCUUAACUCAAAAGCCGUGGAGAAACAAAGGACAGAGAAACGUUUAGAAAUGUUCGUUACCUGCCGAAAACCGGGUUGAGGGUGUUGGGGAUGUAGUGGUCUCGAUCUUCAAUUACUUUUUUGCCCAGUGUUAUUUUUAUGUAAGGGUCACACUGUGGGGACAAAACAGAUGGCAUGCUGUGUCACCGUCGGGUGCAAGUUCAAGGCAGUUUCCAGGGCAGACUCAGGUAGCCUCCACACCCGCUCCCACACUGACGAAAAGGUGGCGUCCGCGCCUCAGUUGAGGUCUGAGCAACACGGCCCUUGGUGCAGCAGACCGCCAGCCGCCUUCAGAGAAGUGGUGAGGGGUGAAGGGGCGGCGGCAGGGAAGAGGCACCGCGCAAAUCUCCUCGAGGUCACAUUUGUAAAAUGAGAAGCAUGAACCAGAGGAACCAAAGCCCCUUCAAGCUUUUGGAUAAAUCCCCAUUGGGACAGUCCUCCUGAAUACAUUGCUUGGAUAGAGUAUCUUUCCCCUAGUGAGAUAACAGACGCCCCAAAAGAAAGAACAUGACAAUUAUUGUGGCUGAUGACUGUAAUUAUCUUGCUACAGGAGAAGGCCCCACACCCAAACUCUUACCAGGCCAUUGUUGUCUUGGGGCUGGAGCUCUAAGCCUCGAACAAUGUAAAUCCUAACCGUGCAUUCCUGUGGGACGCUGUCAGGUAAUUCCCGAAACUGCCUGGGAGGGGCCGGCACGCUGGGGUCAUCCGACAGGGAGUAGAUUCUAAAGGAGCCCUAAGAGAGAGAUACACAGAUAUCCUCACAAGGCCCCUGGUGACCCGGGCGGAGGACUCCUGCCUUCCCCUGCCACGUACAUUCUGGAGCAGCCACAGGGGCUGCCUUUUCGUGAAGGGAACAGUGUCUAUUACACUAUACACGUUUCCAGUAGGGAAGGUAAAAUGAUGAUAAAAUAAGUAUUUAACUAAUUACAGAGAAGAAAAGGCAGGACAGAAACAGGAAGACCAGGCACAAAUCGAGGCCAGAGCUGGACCGGUAUGGUGGCAAAGGAGGUGGUGAGGAGUAAAACCCUGCACAUAUUUUGAAGAUAGGAAUCAAAGUGAUUAUUUUUUAUUUAUUUUUUAUUUUUAUUUAAAACAAUUU